CGGACGGGGGAGUAAUGUCUGGGAAACUGCCUGAUGGAGGGGGAUAACUACUGGAAACGGUAGCUAAUACCGCAUAACGUCGCAAGACCAAAGAGGGGGACCUUCGGGCCUCUUGCCAUCGGAUGUGCCCAGAUGGGAUUAGCUAGUAGGUGGGGUAAAGGCUCACCUAGGCGACGAUCCCUAGCUGGUCUGAGAGGAUGACCAGCCACACUGGGACUGAGACACGGUCCAG
rnacentral:rRNA from 1 species